UACGUAGGGUGCAAGCGUUGUCCGGAAUUAUUGGGCGUAAAGAGCUCGUAGGCGGUCUGUCGCGUCGGCUGUGAAAACCCGGGGCUCAACCCCGGGCCUGCAGUCGAUACGGGCAGACUAGAGUGUGGUAGGGGAGACUGGAAUUCCUGAUGUAGCGGUGAAAUGCGCAGAUAUCAGGAGGAACACCGAUGGCGAAGGCAGCUCACUGGGACGGUACUGACGCUGAGACGCGAAAGCGUGGGGAGCAAACAGG
rnacentral:rRNA from 1 species